UGAGCAUCCACUUCUGUGUUUGCUAGGCCA
rnacentral:piRNA from 1 species